rnacentral:rRNA from 1 species
GAUGAACGCUGGCGGCGUGCCUAAUACAUGCAAGUCGAGCGAACUGAUUAGAAGCUUGCUUCUAUGACGUUAGCGGCGGACGGGUGAGUAACACGUGGGCAACCUGCCUGUAAGACUGGGAUAACUCCGGGAAACCGGAGCUAAUACCGGAUAACAUUUUCUCUUGCAUAAGAGAAAAUUGAAAGAUGGUUUCGGCUAUCCCUUACAGAUGGGCCCGCGGUGCAUUAGCUAGUUGGUGAGGUAACGGCUCACCAAGGCAACGAUUCAUAGCCGAGAUGAGAGGGUGAGCGGACACACUGGGACUGAGACACGGCCCAGACUCCUACGGGAGGCAGCAGUAGGGAAUCUUCCGCAAUGGACGAAAGUCUGACGGAGCUACGCCGCGUGAGUGAUGAAGGCUUUCGGGUCGUAAAACUCUGUUGUUAGGGAAGAACAAGUACAAGAGUAACUGCUUGUACCUUGACGGUACCUACCAGAAAGCCACGGCUAACUACGUGCCAGCCGCCGCGGUAA